rnacentral:lncRNA from 1 species
AAGAUGACUGAUGCGAAUCAGAACAUUCCGAUGACUGUCUAGUGCGCAAAGGUCCUUCCACUUGCUGCUGGCUUACAGCCACUAGCUGUGAAUUUACCAUGCUUCGGACCAACUGGCUGCUUGGCACACUAUUAUUUCUCUGACGGGCUUGUUUGAAUUCAGGACAGUCUCUUCUAACAUGACCCACAUCUCCACAGAUGAAACACCUCUUCUCUCUUGUUUCUCUAUCAUCUUCUUUCACUUCUUUUUCAUCAUCUUUCUCAUUCUCUUUUUUCUUUAACCUCCUCCUCUUUGGACAGUCUUUCAUGUAGUGACCAAUUUUUCCACAGACACGACAACAUCUGUCAUUGGGUGCCAAUUCUCC